UGGGGAAUUUUGGACAAUGGGCGCAAGCCUGAUCCAGCCAUUCCGCGUGCAGGAUGAAGGCCCUCGGGUUGUAAACUGCUUUUGUACGGAACGAAAGGGCCUAGGCUAAUACCUUGGGCUCAUGACGGUACCGUAAGAAUAAGCACCGGCUAACUACGUGCCAGCAGCCGCGGUAAUACGUAGGGUGCAAGCGUUAAUCGGAAUUACUGGGCGUAAAGCGUGCGCAGGCGGUGAUGUAAGACGGAUGUGAAAUCCCCGGGCUCAACCUGGGAACUGCAUUCGUGACUGCAUCGCUGGAGUGCGGCAGAGGGGGAUGGAAUUCCGCGUGUAGCAGUGAAAUGCGUAGAUAUGGCGGAGGAACACCGAUGGCGAAGGCAAUCCCCUGGGCCUGCACUGACGCUCAUGCACGAAAGCGUGGGGAGCAAACAGGAUUAGAUACCCUGGUAGUCCACGCCCUAAACGAUGUCAACUGGUUGUUGGUCCUUCACUGGAUCAGUAACGAAGCUAACGCGUGAAGUUGACCGCCUGGGGAGUACGGCCGCAAGGUUGAAACUUAAAUGAAUUGACGGGGUCAUAGCUGUUUCCU
rnacentral:rRNA from 1 species